GCCAAUGUAGCUCAGUUGGUAGAGCAACGCUCUCGUAAAGCGUAGGUCGUCGGUUCGAAUCCGAUCAUUGGCU
rnacentral:tRNA from 1 species